AAAGAGAUUUUUUUAUUUUUUUUUCUGCAGCAUAGUUGAACUAAGGCUUACAAGUUAAAUCAGUUUACCUUUCAGAAGGGACAGAGUGGAAGGCAAACCUUGUCUCUGAUAAGAGUUAAAUGUCUUUGAAGCUUGUGACCACUGCCUCUUGUCCUGCCAGUGGGCACCACUGAGAAGAGUCCAGCUCCCUCUUCUUCAUUCCCUCCUAUCAGAUCAGAAGAAAGCAAGAAAUGCUGCUCUUCUCAUCUUUUGGUUCCAGAUUCUUCUUGAACCUCAUUACUGUUUGUAGGCAUAGUAAGUUACCUUCCUCUGAGCUCCCUACUUCACAGGACUGAACUGUAUGAAUUCCACGUUCAUCCUUGGACUAGAGUUCUAUGCAAUAACAAACAUCUGCUGUGAGCAAUGAAAGAGGGAUUGCUGUAAGAUAUAUAUGCUGGCACCACAUAUUACUUGAGAUAGGAUGAGCCAUGUAAUCAGAGAAACAAAAAUUUCAACUUAAGUUUCAAGUCUAAUGCUACCCUUGUUCCAGCUUUCCUCCGAAUUGGAUCCCAAGUUAUUGCAGGAUCAGCAUGGAUCCCAGGACUUUGGUCAGGAUAUACAAAGGAUAUACAUUCGUUCUUGAUGGCAGCUUUUGAAAUCCUUGGUACAUUUAUGAACCUCCUUUUAAUCUUUAAUUCCUGUCAUCAGAAAUUUCCUGUCUCAUUGAUUUGUACAUCAUUUUUGCACACAACGUAAAAAAACAAGCUAUAAAACUAUGUAAAAGAUACCGAACUGUCUUCUCUAGCAUUAUGUUUCAGCACUCAAUGAGAGUGCAGCUCAUUUUACCCAAAGAAGAUUUCAGCAAUUCCCUUACCAGGCUGCUUGCAAAUGUCAGUCCUCUGAGCAAUAAUAAGGCAACAAGUAGGCUGAGAACAAAGCUGCUGAUAAUUCUGGUGCUACAUUUGAAGGAAAUGCGAGGGCAGUGAUGGGUAGGAGUAAGAGAUUUGUUUCUCCAAGGAAAAUAUUUGUGUCAGAAAAAGCAUCAGGCACUAUGAACUAAGCUGCUCACGAGCUACAUGUGCUUUUAAGAAGGAUGCUUAAAAACAAUAGCCUGAAAAUAGAAGAUGGUAUCCCAUGGGUUAUAGUGGACGGUUUGUGAGCCUCUGCAAUAUUCAGGUGGGAUCUGUUUUGUGCAGCCUUAUUGACAAAGUCCAGAUGAAGGCUGGCUGGCUGCUAAGUCUACAGCUGUGGUUGUUUGAAGAGAUGGUGUUUGUUAGGAGACUCAGGAGUUCAUGAUGACCUGGGAGAAGUUUGUCCCCAUGAGAAGCGAGUUGAUUUGCAUUUUUAGAGAAUCAUUACCCUGAAACCCGGGACUACCUGUGCGUGUUUGUACAGCUUUAGAACCAGUAUGUGGCAUGUCUGAAAAUAGUUUUACUUUUCAUAGGCUGCUUCCAUCAUAGGCUUAACAGUAUGCAUUAUUCAAAGAAGAACUGUUUUAGUUUACUUGAGUUUUGUCUAUGACGCAUCUGGCCUGCCCUUUAAAAGACAUCAAUAAUUUUAAUGUAUGCAAAUACCUGUGAAGUUGCAUAAUUCUUAGUACAUACACAAAGAGUGAGAUGAGCCCUGUGGUAUAUAAAUACCUUAGAAUAGAUGUGCAUACAUCAGAGUUGAUUAUCUUUGGUCCCCAGAAAGGUAUAGUUUGAAUAAUUUGGAAAAAUCAGCUGCAAAGAUAGUAGUUUCUCUGUAUGAGCAGUACAGCAACCAAGAGGUAGAUGCAAUUAGUCCAUGGGGGAAUGUACUAUUUGUACUUAUGGGAACUAGCUUUGUGCACAUUAUAAAAUAAAUAAAAAGGCUGCAAUAACGUUCUUAUAGUUGUUGAUGAUGUCUCUUCUGAAGCUGUUUAAACUGUUCUUUCACAUUCCCCUAUGGUUGUUGAACUCUCUGAAAUUAAGGAUAAAGUCAGGUAGAUUCAGUCCCUAUUGACUGUAUUCCACUGAUUUCUGCUCUGGCCUAUAAAAUAUAUGGAUACAAUUCUUCCUUCUCAUUUUGCUAUUAAUGUUAAUUCUACAUUUACAAAUCAGUUAUAGGGUUUUUUAGGGAUAUGUAGAAUUUGCAGUCGUUUGUAUCUAUCAGGCCUGAAUCUAAAAAUUAGGCCUCCAAACAUUUGUCAGUAAGGGGAAAUUGGUAAUCAGCUUGUUCCAGGCAUGCUUUUCGAUAUGCAGUUUUCUUAAAUCCUUCUUUACUGUGUCUGAAUCUUAGUAUUGUUCUUCAUAAUUGUAUCUUACCUCAGAAAAACCCAGUCAGUUUUGGGUUGACAUGCAGUUCUUACAGUGCAGAAACUGAGAUUUCCUGGGGCUAGCACCUCUAAAACCGAUGCAAAACUUAAGGUACUAAUACAGUAACAGCAGGCACUCACUCUGAUGAAGCAUAUUUGAUCACUGAGCCAAAUAUGAGGCUUAACUAAAACCAGCUUUGAUUAGCAUAGAGAGACUUCUGCAGAAGCUUUAGCACACUUUGGCUUCUUCACCUUUUGGGUAUUUUUUCUCCUUUUCUGUUCCCUUUGCUCCGAGUCCUCUUCUUUGCAAGGCUUUUGCUGUAAGCAAGAGAGAAGUAAUCUAUAUGCUUAUAGCAAGGCUGAUGACAUGAAGGGCUUUAGAAGAGUUUUACUGUUCAGUGAAAAAAAGCUGAUCUUCAUAUGUAGUAAAUGGUUUUCUUGAUAGGCUUUUAGUGAGAAUGUUAUAGUAUUACAGAAGACUGUGUAAUGAUGACAAAGCUUAAUACUUAAAAGCGUUCCUGGAGAUACAAAGAUGAUGCAAUGGUUUGUUGAGAAUGCUGUGGUUUUAGUGUGCUUGCCAAAAAAGCUGAGACAGAAAUUAAUUUUCCUUUUUUUAAAAAAAAGGUAAUACCAACUGAAGAAUUCCACUUGAGGUAGUGGAAUUUGUCAGCGGCUGUUUAUUUGGGCCAGUGUGUUAAUAGAGUUGUUUAAAAAGGGUAAGCAGGAGAAUUUUUGAAGGUCUGGAAGUUUGGCUUUUGUGGUUCAGCUCACUAGAACCUGCUGA